AUUGAACGCUGGCGGCAUGCUUUACACAUGCAAGUCGAACGGUAACAGGUUAAGCUGACGAGUGGCGAACGGGUGAGUAAUGCAUCGGAACGUGCCCGGUCGUGGGGGAUAACACUUCGAAAGAAGUGCUAAUACCGCAUACGAUCCGAGGAUGAAAGCGGGGGACCGUAAGGCCUCGCGCGAUCGGAGCGGCCGAUGUCAGAUUAGGUAGUUGGUGGGGUAAAGGCUCACCAAGCCGACGAUCUGUAGCUGGUCUGAGAGGACGACCAGCCACACUGGGACUGAGACACAGCCCAGACUCCUACGGGAGGCAGCAGUGGGGAAUUUUGGACAAUGGGCGCAAGCCUGAUCCAGCAAUGCCGCGUGCAGGAAGAAGGCCUUCGGGUUGUAAACUGCUUUUGUACGGAGCGAAAAGGCUCUCUCUAAUACAGGGGACUCAUGACGGUACCGUAAGAAUAAGCACUGGCUAACUACGUGCCAGCCGCCGCGGUAA
rnacentral:rRNA from 1 species